rnacentral:rRNA from 1 species
UACAGAGGGGGCAAGCGUUAUUCGGAAUUAUUGGGCGUAAAGGGCGCGUAGGCGGCUUUGCAAGUGGCGGGUGAAAGCCCUCGGCUUAACCGAGGAACUGCCUGUCCGACUGUGAGGCUUGAGACCGGGAGAGGUGAGUGGAAUUCCCAGUGUAGCGGUGAAAUGCGUAGAUAUUGGGAGGAACACCAGUGGCGAAGGCGGCUCACUGGACCGGAACUGACGCUGAGGCGCGAAAGCCAGGGGAGCAAACAGG